rnacentral:rRNA from 1 species
CACGUAGGGCGCAAGCGUUGUCCGGAAUUAUUGGGCGUAAAGAGCUCGUAGGCGGUCUGUUACGUCUGCUGUGAAAACCCGGGGCUUAACCCUGGGCUUGCAGUGGAUACGGGCAGACUAGAGGCAGGUAGGGGAGAAUGGAAUUCCCGGUGUAGCGGUGAAAUGCGCAGAUAUCGGGAGGAACACCGGUGGCGAAGGCGACCAUCUGGACGACAACUGACGCUGAGGCGCGAAAGCGUGGGGAGCAAACAGG